rnacentral:rRNA from 1 species
GAUGAACGCUGGCGGCGUGCCUAAUACAUGCAAGUCGAGCGAACGGACGAGAAGCUUGCUUCUCUGAUGUUAGCGGCGGACGGGUGAGUAACACGUGGAUAACCUACCUAUAAGACUGGGAUAACUUCGGGAAACCGGAGCUAAUACCGGAUAAUAUUUUGAACCGCAUGGUUCAAAAGUGGAAGACGGUCUUGCUGUCACUUAUAGAUGGAUCCGCGCUGCAUUAGCUAGUUGGUAAGGUAACGGCUUACCAAGGCAACGAUGCAUAGCCGACCUGAGAGGGUGAUCGGCCACACUGGAACUGAGACACGGUCCAGACUCCUACGGGAGGCAGCAGUAGGGAAUCUUCCGCAAUGGGCGAAAGCCUGACGGAGCAACGCCGCGUGAGUGAUGAAGGUCUUCGGAUCGUAAAACUCUGUUAUUAGGGAAGAACAUAUGUGUAAGUAACUGUGCACAUCUUGACGGUACCUAACCAGAAAGCCACGGCUAACUACGUG